AUUGAACGCUGGCGGCAGGCCUAACACAUGCAAGUCGAGCGGAUGAAGGGAGCUUGCUCCUGGAUUCAGCGGCGGACGGGUGAGUAAUGCCUAGGAAUCUGCCUGGUAGUGGGGGAUAACGUCCGGAAACGGGCGCUAAUACCGCAUACGUCCUGAGGGUGAAAGUGGGGGAUCUUCGGACCUCACGCUAUCAGAUGAGCCUAGGUCGGAUUAGCUAGUUGGUGGGGUAAAGGCCUACCAAGGCGACGAUCCGUAACUGGCCUGAGAGGAUGAUCAGUCACACUGGAACUGAGACACGGUCCAGACUCCUACGGGAGGCAGCAGUGGGGAAUAUUGGACAAUGGGCGAAAGCCUGAUCCAGCCAUGCCGCGUGUGUGAAGAAGGUCUUCGGAUUGUAAAGCACUUUAAGUUGGGAGGAAGGGCAGUAAGUUAAUACCUUGCUGUUUUGACGUUACCAACAGAAUAAGCACCGGCUAACUUCGUG
rnacentral:rRNA from 1 species